ACUCCUACGGAAGGCAGCAGUGGGGAAUAUUGCACAAUGGGGGAAACCCUGAUGCAGCGACGCCGCGUGGGUGACGAAGGCCUUCGGGUUGUAAAGCCCUGUGGGGUAGAACGAACUGGCAUCGGGCUAAUAUCUCGGUGUCUUGACGGUACUGCCUUAGCAAGCAUCGGCUAACUCUGUGCCAGCAGCCGCGGUAAUG
rnacentral:rRNA from 1 species